rnacentral:lncRNA from 1 species
AUGAAAACCCUCCUACAGCUGGGUCUCUCUCUGCUGUGCACAGAUAUUGCCUUAUCUCUUCUGUGUAGACAAUGUAAGUCCUACACACGUCAAACGUGUAGUCACGGGAUGCAGACAUGUGUUGCUAAAGAAGGUGAAUCUUGUAUGACCCGUCGAGUCUUUUCCCAUCCUUAUACUUGUAAGUAUGUCUGGUUUAGAGCAAUGGAAAUUCUAUUUUUCCUUGAAUAUUCAAGCCCCUUUUUUUCUCUAAGACUCUUUAAGGGUGUCUAUUCAGCUGAAGGUGUGAUGUUCUGAACCUAGCCAUGAAGUCAUCUUGGUUGGAGAAUCCUGAAAUUAUGGGAAAGUUCGAGUGGUCUGGAGUUGUUAACCCCCACUGGGCUGAUUGCUUCCUGAGUCUUCUGAGACUCCGCCUCUAUGGUGUUCACUGUCCAGAGAUUCUGAUCCAUUGGGUCUUGAAAUGCACUGUUUCUCACACUCCAUCCUGGCAGCCUCUGUUAUGAUCUCCUAAUAUCAAUCCAACUUCUGUUCCAGUUUAGAGUUGCCUGCCGUUGACACUUCUCCUUGUGCACAUGACCAUCCUGUCUCCUCACAAGCCCUUGGCCAUGUCCAUCUCACACCGCCCAUCACAAGAGUAUUCUAAUUGUCUAUUAUAUAUUAACACCUGGUCCUUGAAAGCAGAGAUUUGAUGCUACUCACCACUUUGCUCUGGUUUUACCGUAGAGUCUGGAAAUAAGCAGAUUUCUAGUAACUGUCUUGUUCCUGUCUGGCUAAGAGGAAGGACUUUUUUGUGCUCAACAUCUGGACUCUCUAGCCCACCACAAAGUGUAUAUUUCAUCAGCAGUAGAGACUCCUGGGAGACUGAGCCUUGCACGAUGUGGCUUAGGAGCAUGUGGUAGGACUGCCAUUAAUUUGCCUACAGCCACUAUAGGGGAAAUGCACUUUCACUUGAAUUAUUCCUGGUUUAACAUAUGUGGUUUUGGGACACAUACCUUGGUUAUGAAAAUGAUCAUUUGUUUCUGCUCUUUCCUUCCACAGCAGAUAUUCCACUGUCUGCAGAGAGCAAAUGUGUCAAAGAUUGUGAAACUAAGGAUGAUCUUUCCGGUGAGCAUGUAAUACUUGAAGUCUGCUGUGUACACCAUGAUUUCUGCAAUGACCUCAAAGUGCCAAUUUAUGAUUGAGGAAACAUCAAAUUGCCUCAUCAAUUUCUUUAUAUUAUUAUUAUUGUUGUUUCUCACUAGGGUUCCAUUUUCAUUCUAGACUAGGGCUUCCCCAAGCCUCAGAAUCUCUGGAAUCA